rnacentral:ncRNA from 2 species
CUAAUGUCUGCCCGUCACGGCUGCCCGGUUCCGACCGGGCAAGGGAAUCCGGUGACGCAUCGCAAGGUGCGGAAUCCGGAGCUGCCCCCGCAACUGUAAUCGGUGAGUCUUGCGCUUUUCCAUGCCACUGGACGAAUGUCCGGGAAGGCCGGCGCAGGACGACGACCCGAGAGCCAGGAGACCUGCCGCGACGCUUCCCUUAAC